rnacentral:rRNA from 1 species
UACGUAGGGUCCGAGCGUUGUCCGGAAUUACUGGGCGUAAAGAGCUUGUAGGCGGUUCGUCGCGUCGUUUGUGAAAACUUGGGGCUCAACCUUAAGCUUGCAGGCGAUACGGGCGGACUAGAGUACUUCAGGGGAGACUGGAAUUCCUGGUGUAGCGGUGAAGUGCGCAGAUAUCAGGAAGAACACCCGUGGCGAAGGCGGCUCUCUGGGACGGUACUGACGCUGAGACGCGAAAGCGUGGGGAGCGAACAGG